AAUAAAUAAAACUCUCCCCUCCUAAUUCCUGGGAAGCGCAUGUUUUGUGUUUUCUCGCUGCUUCCCCUUUAAUUUGUUGCUGGUGCUCGUGGUCCCCUUUGUUCUUGCUGCUCCAGCGCAGUCGCGUACUACUCUUCUUCUGCACCGUUUUUCUUCAAAUCAGUGAUGAAUUCGGCGAGUACUUUGUCGCCGACUCCGAUUAUGCGUUUCAAGUUCGGAGCAUACCUUUGAAACGAGGGAGAUAUAUUCCAAUUUCUUCAGUCUGUCGCCUUUGCUUUCCUCAACUGCCGCCAUUGCUGCUGCUGCUUCAAGAAUCUAUUUUCAUCGACGGUCUCACACUUUGUUUGUGGGAUUUCGAAAGUGAAAAUUGAAAACCCUUGUCAAUUUUUAAGCUCUUGUGGCUCUGUCAUAUUUGAACCUUAGCAGAUGUGGCCUGUCUGAUCAUGGUUUUGAUAAGCUCUUCGGACUUAAGAAUUUGAAGGUGUUCAAUCUGGCCUUUAACAACAUAACAAAUACAUAUAUGUUUGGUUUAUCUCAAAGGGUAAGGCGGUAGUAUUUUUGACGGGUCCGUCACCGGGACUAAUGUGGAGUAGCAGGAAGGGAAGUUGAUUGUCCAGAAAUGGAGGUUUUGGGAAUUGGCCUGAUGGCGUUUUCUCUACGAUGCAUUGGCUACCCUUGGCCGUAUUUUGAAUAGUCGAAUGCCACGAAGAAAUUACAGGUGAAGGAUAGCAUGAGGUAACCUGUUUCUUAAGCUGAAUAGCUGUUAGUCUUAUAUCCUUAAGUUGAAAUAAGUUUUGUAGCAAAUUCUUUAUUGCUUAAGUGAUCUUUUUGUUACUGAGGUUAAUCCUUAGCGUUGCCAUUUGGUUCAUUUGUUAGAUUAGAUUUAGCUCAUGAAAAAUGACAUGCAGCUGGAAUGAAGGAAAUCCUGAGGCUUUGCUGGUGAAAUGUAAAUUUAUUGUUCAAGAGUCAACCUUUAUUCAUUUUAGUUCUUUGAAAAUGGUUUGUUUCUCACACAUGAUGUUGGAAUAUGGACAUUUUCUGCAUUUUUUCUUCUGUUUGCAAUGCCGGCAUUGAACUCCUGGAAAUUAUCUUUGAUUAUACUCCAGAUGAUCUUUGUGUUCAUUAUACACAGGGAAACACAUGGUUUACAGUAAUAGAAAAACAAGUGUUUAAUGCACAUCUUCUCCUGCCAAUUAUGCAUAUGUUGCUCUUCAUGGCUCCCCUUUGAUAUUGAGCGUACGGUAAGUGAAGAGACCGAAUACCUAGCCUGAACUUCUGUCAGAGGUGUGUUCUGUUCUUCUGAAUCUGUUAAACUUGAUGCUUUUGUGAAGUCAUAUUCUGAUUGCGGCAGUUGAAGCAUUUAUGUCUUCAUCCCUUAAGAAAACUUGAUCUGUUUUAGUCAUCUAUACUAUGUUUUCGUUCAGUUUCUGGCUGCGAAUAAUGAAAGUUAUAAUAAUCAAACUUUGAAAAAUCACAAAAUCCUCUCUUUCCAAUCAUAGUAUUACUGCAGUCGUUUGGUUGCAACUGCUGCAAACCUUUGCAUCGCCCUCGGAAGUGGUUUCACUGCUGUUAUCGUGAUCACGGUCUGUUCACAUUGGUGUGACACCAACAUAUGACGCAUAAUUGAAAUGCAUUUGUUUUUUUUUUUGGUGCGAAUGAGACACAAUUAUUAAAUCGCGUACGUGAUGCCAAACGUAAAGAAUAAAAGUUACGGGCACAAAGGAAAUAAUCAAAUAACCUAUUCAAUUCGAUUGAGAUGUGAAAUGCUGCCAAAGAAUGAGAUAGAGUACAGUUCGAUUGAAUCCAUAGAAAAACUUGUCUCCUUGUGCAUCUAUACCUUUGGAGAUCUUGGGUGAUGGUUCCUGGGACGCAAUUUUCAUAAUAUCUUUGAUAUAAAUUCCUUAAGGACAUGUUACUUUUUGGAAAAUUUCUCAUCUACAGAGCCACCUAGUCGUUGCAUGGCUGUGACUGGUUGGCUGCACCUUGCACAUCUGAAAGAUGGAGCUGCAACACACCGUGUUCUAAGGCAGUAAUAACUAAUAACAGUAUCUGCAAAACAAAUGAGGGAACUAACAUCAGAUAGUGUGGCUAAUAAAUAAGCUCAUUGGAAUAAGAGGUAGUUCCUAAAGCAAUUUUAAUAUUCGUGCUAAAUGCUGGCUGAAUCAUGAGGGUAUGUCAGUUAAAAAAUCAGGUGACAUUUUCCAAAGUAUCUCCUCUAUAUUUCCUAUCUCAGAAGAACCUUUUCUUUCUAAUACUUAGAAACCUUUUCUUUCUAAAACUUAGAAACUUGUACUGGUUGUAGCUCCUACAUGACUGUUUUCAGUUUUCACUACUACCUAGUGAUCCUUACACAACCUCAAGUCAUGAUAUUUUACAAGUAUUUGGAAUUACUUACAUUUGACCUCAAAGUGUGAAGUGUGUGUUUAGCAACCAGUGUAAAACAACCAUUUUCAGUUGGCUUGGCUCUCCAACAGUAGGACCACUAUAGCUCCUCUGAUACAGCAGUGGGUCAAUAGGCAUUGUAUAAGCUAGUUCAAGAAGACAACUGCUGCUUGAUUAUUGUUGUUGUUGCUGCUGUAUUUUUUGUUGUUGGUUGCUGCACUUGUGUGAAUGUUCUAACCGCCACAUUUUGUAUCUUUUACUUGAUGCAGGAACACCCUAGGUACCGUGAAUAAUAAUCAAAUUAUGAAACGUGGAUACUAGUUAUGGGAGGAAAGAUAGGAAAAGAGAGCAUGGGACAAACAUGAGUUUUUGUCUUGUGGUUCGCAGCAAGGAAAUGAACGCUUUAAAUCUAAAGGUUUUCAAAACUCCAAUGGAGGGGCCCUUUACCGAAGAGGAGUUGGAUGAAGUUCGAGACAAGUGGGCUAUUUACUUCAACGAUUGUGAACUACCCUCAGUGUAUUAAAUAGAGCAGGCUUAUAGUUGUUCGUGACUCUUACAUUAUUUUGUUAUUUAUCGAUUUAAUUAAUUACAUUUGAAUUAAUUCGGUAAUAUUAUUGGAAAUUUGAAAUUUAUAUCAUUUUUGAUAAUGUCAA